rnacentral:rRNA from 1 species
UAUAUGUUGGUAGAGGAGCAUUGUUAGCGGAACGAAGCCAUACCGGAAGGAGUGGUGGACUGCUAAGAAGAGAGAAUGCCGGAAUGAGUAGCGAGAUUGAAGUGAGAAUCUUCAAGGCCGAAUAUCUAAGGUUUCCAGGGUAAAGCUGAUCUGCCCUGGGUAAGUCGGGGCCUAAGGCGAGGUCGGAAGACGUAGCCGAUGGACAACAGGUUGAAAUUCCUGUACUGCGAUAUAUCAGAAAUGUGGGGACACAGAAGGAAAGUGUGAGCCGGGAAAGGAAAGACCGGUGCAAGCACAGGAGGAGGGAUACAGGCAAAUCCGUAUCCCAAUCCAAUGGUGUUACGCGGAGCGAACAAAAGUAGCGAAGCACACAGACCAUCUGUCGAGAAAAGCCGCUAUUGUGUAUACCGUACCCGUACCGUAAACCGACACAGGUGGAUGAGGAGAGAAUCCUAAGGCCGGCGGGAGAAGCAUUGUUAAGGAACUCGGCAAAAUGACCCCGUAACUUCGGGAGAAGGGGUGCUCACGCAAGUGAGCCGCAGAGAACUGGCCCAAGCAACUGUUUAGCAAAAACACAGGUCUAUGCAAAACCGAAAGGUGAGGUAUAUGGGCUGACGCCUGCCCGGUGCUGGAAGGUUAAGAGGAGAUGUUAGAGCAAUCGAAGCAUUGAAUUUAAGCCCCAGUAAACGGCGGCCGUAACUAUAACGGUCCUAAGGUAGCGAAAUUCCUUGUCGGGUAAGUUCCGACCCGCACGAAAGGCGUAAUGAUUUGGGCACUGUCUCGACAAUGCACCCGGUGAAAUUGAAAUACCAGUGAAGAUGCUGGUUACCUGCGCCAGGACGGAAAGACCCCAUGGAGCUUUACUCUAGCUUGAUACUGGGAUUCGGUAUUGCAUGUACAGGAUAGGUGGGAGACUAAGAGGUGAUGACGCCAGUUGUCACGGAGUCGAUGUUGGGAUACCACCCCUGCAGUACUGGGUUUCUAACCUGCGGCCGUGACCCGGCCGGGGGACAAUGUCUGGUGGGGAGUUUGACUGGGGCGGUCGCCUCCGAAAGGGCAUCGGAGGCGCUCAAAGGUUCCCUCAGAAUGGUUGGAAACCAUUCGAAGAGUGCAAAGGCAGAAGGGAGCUUGACUGCGACACCGACGGGUGGAGCAGGUACGAAAGUAGGACUUAGUGAUCCGGUGGUAUGAAAGUGGGAUUGCCAUCGCUCAACGGAUAAAAGCUACCCUGGGAUAACAGGCUUAUCACUCCCAAGAGUUCACAUCGACGGAGUGGUUUGGCACCUCGAUGUCGGCUCAUCGCAUCCUGGGGCUGUAGUAGGUCCCAAGGGUUGGGCUGUUCGCCCAUUAAAGCGGUACGCGAGCUGGGUUCAGAACGUCGUGAGACAGUUCGGUCCCUAUCCGGCGUGGGCGCAGGAUAUCUGAGAGGAGCUGUCCUUAGUACGAGAGGACCGGGAUGGACUGACCUCUGGUGCAUCGGUUGAGCCACCAGGCUCAUGGCCGAGUAGCCAAGUCGGGACGGGAUAAACGCUGAAGGCAUCUAAGCGUGAAGCCCCCCUCAAGAUGAGAUAUCCCAUAGAGUUAAUCUAGUAAGACCCCUUGAAGACGACGAGGUAGAUAGGCAGAAGGUGGAAGUGUGGUGACAUAUGGAGCUGAUCUGUACUAAUAGGUCGAGGGC